rnacentral:rRNA from 1 species
GAUGAACGCUGGCGGCGUGCCUAAUACAUGCAAGUCGAGCGAACAGACGAGGAGCUUGCUCCUCUGACGUUAGCGGCGGACGGGUGAGUAACACGUGGAUAACCUACCUAUAAGACUGGGAUAACUUCGGGAAACCGGAGCUAAUACCGGAUAAUAUAUUGAACCGCAUGGUUCAAUAGUGAAAGACGGUUUUGCUGUCACUUAUAGAUGGAUCCGCGCCGCAUUAGCUAGUUGGUAAGGUAACGGCUUACCAAGGCAACGAUGCGUAGCCGACCUGAGAGGGGGAUCGGCCACACUGGAACUGGACCCCGGCCCAACCCCCUCCGGGGGGCAGCGGGAGGGAAUCUUCCCCAAGGGGCGAAACCCGGACGGGGCAACCCCGCGUGAGUGAUGAAGGUUUUCGGAUCGUAAAACUUUGUUUUUAGGGAAAAAAAAAUGUGUAAGUAACUAUGCCCGUCUGGACGGUACCUAAUCAGAAAGCCACGGCUAACUACGU